rnacentral:tRNA from 1 species
AGUUAAUUAGCUUAUAAUAUAAAGCGUAUACUUUGAAAGUAUAGGAAAGAUAUAUAAUUUAUUAACUU